UCUCCGUAGGUGAACCUGCGGAGGGAUCAUUACCGAGCGAGGGCCCCCGGCCCGACCUCCAACCCUUUGUGUUUCUGACUGUGUUGCCUCGGGGGCGACCCGGCGCGUUUAUCGCGUUGGGGCCCCCGGCGGACCACCCAACCCUGCAUCGUUGCGUCUGAGUCGAAAUAUAAAUCAAUCAAAACUUUCAACAACGGAUCUCUUGGUUCUGGCAUCGAUGAAGAACGCAGC
rnacentral:misc_RNA from 1 species